rnacentral:rRNA from 1 species
UGGGGGAUUUUGCACAAUGGGCGCAAGCCUGAUGCAGCGACGCCGCGUGAGGGAUGAAGGCCUUCGGGCUGUAAACCUCUUUCGUUGGGUUGAAAGGCCAUGCGUUGGGUGUGGGUGAUUUGAACUGGUAAAGAAGUACCGGCUAACUACGUGCCAGCAGCCGCGGUAAUACGUAGGGUACUAGCGUUGUCCGGAUUUAUUGGGCGUAAAGGGCUUGUAGGUGGUUUGUCGCGUCUGUCGUGAAAUCCUGUGGCUUAACCAUGGGCUUGCGGUGGGUACGGGCAGGCUUGAGUGCGGUAGGGGAGACUGGAAUUCCUGGUGUGGCGGUGGAAUGCGCAGAUAUCAGGAUGAACACCGGUGGCGAAGGCGGGUCUCUGGGCCGUUACUGACACUGAGGAGCGAAAGCGUGGGGAGCGAACAGG